CAGUAGCCGCGGUAAUACGUAGGUCCCGAGCGUUGUCCGGAUUUAUUGGGCGUAAAGCGAGCGCAGGCGGUUAGAUAAGUCUGAAGUUAAAGGCUGUGGCUUAACCAUAGUACGCUUUGGAAACUGUUAAACUUGAGUGCAGGAGGGGAGAGUGGAAUUCCAUGUGUAGCGGUGAAAUGCGUAGAUAUAUGGAGGAACACCGGUGGCGAAAGCGGCUCUCUGGCUUGUAACUGACGCUGAGGCUCGAAAGCGUGGGGAGCAAACAGGAUUAGAUACCCGAGUAGUCCCUGUCUCUUAUACA
rnacentral:rRNA from 1 species